rnacentral:rRNA from 1 species
UACAUAGGGGGCAAGCGUUGUCCGGAUUUAUUGGGCGUAAAGAGCGUGUAGGCGGCCUGAAAGGUCAGCUGUGAAAACUCGAGGCUCAACCUCGAGACGUCGGUUGAAACCAUCUGGCUAGAGUCCGGAAGAGGAGUGUGGAAUUCCCGGUGUAGCGGUGAAAUGCGCAGAUAUCGGGAAGAACACCCGUGGCGAAGGCGGCACUCUGGGACGGUACUGACGCUGAGACGCGAAAGCGUGGGGAGCGAACAGG